CGCGCUGAAAGGGGAGGUUGGAGGGUAAGCGAUACGUCACGCCGCCUAAGCUCUUUCGUUCCCUACCGACUGGCCGGACAAGACGGGACGGUCUCGCCGGCGUGAGCGAGCAGAUGGCACCGCGCACAGGACGCGAGCAUGUGAAAGGACUUCGACAGCGCCCGUGUCCAUCUGCUUUUCUUGCGUCAAGUUAAAGGAAGUUUUUGGCUGUUCCAACUAUCGUGCCUGGUAGCCGAGUGGGAAGGUUGGUCCUCGAGUUUUAACACGAGGAUGGGCCUUCCUUGAGCAGGGGCUCAGACUAGAUGACAUCCCGAGGGCCCUUCGAGCCCUACUUGUCUGUGAUUCUGCGAGUCAAAAUAAUUUGUAGCUCCCUACAGUUCUGGGACUCUGGCCUCUCGGUACUAUGGCUUUAUUAAUAUUUGGUGCUGCUCUAUAAAAGCAAGCCUGCCAUGAUUAGAAAAGUAGUGGGCAAAAAGGAGCAUGUAGCAUCCUGGCUUCAACAAAGCAUCAAUAACAGACAAGUCCCUGCCAGCAGAGAGGCUAGAACCACGUGUGGGGAAAAACCCCAGCACUGAUUUCGGAUGUCGCUGUCCCUGGUUUCAUAGCUCUGGGAUUGCCUGGGAAAGACCCCGCGUGAUCAACCUGCAAGGUUGUUGCAUCUGAACCCGUGCGCUGGAUCUGGCAUGACAAAGAUUCAGAAGAAAAUGAACAACAGAGCUGGGGUUGGGAGAAGGAGCCUGUUAAAAAGUCUUGCUGUUUAAGCUUUGGAGCAUCAACUCGGUAGAGAAGGAGGUUCCCAGAGAUGGGACAGGUCAGCUCCUCUCCCUCCGAGGCCCAGCAGUGCUUUCGGCACUACCCACUUGUCCUUUACCCCAUGGAGCCCAAACCAGGGGGGUUCUGCUCUGAGCCUGGGCCCAGCCUAGCAGGAGCUUUGUGCUGAUGGUUGGUCCCGUCGCCUGAGGACACGAGGCGCAAAGCCAUGUCUGGCAACAUGUCUGUCGCUCCCCGAUACCAAUCUGCCCUGUUUCUCAUGCCUCCUGGUCUGCGACAGCACCUCGGUAGGAGAUCUGCCCGUCAGGCACGCAAUUAUGGCAGCUCCAGGUAGGGGGCUUUGGGUCUGAACAAAGGGCUGGCGUGAUCUAAGGGCUUGGAAAGCAUGUUUAAUCACUCGGGUCUUUAGGCAGCUGAGAAACGACUAAUGCCAUAAUGAGCAACACGCGUCACCCCUGCACUUGAUGCACAAAAACAUUUGGGUCACAUCAAGCUUGCAUGCAAAGGCAUUUAUGAAUCAGCGCAGCCCUGCGGGGUCUGCGCCUUGACUGCUGCUAAUAAAGGGCUUCCUCCCACUA